ACGGGAGGCAGCAGUGGGGAAUAUUGGGCCAUGGGGGAAACCCUGACCCAGCAACGCCGCGUGAAGGAAGAAGGCCUUCGGGUUGUAAACUUCUUUUACCAGGGACGAUAAUGACGGUACCUGGAGAAAAAGCAACGGCUAACUACGUGCCAGCAGCCGCGGUAAUACGUAGGUUGCAAGCGUUGUCCGGAUUUACCGGGUGUAAAGGGCGUGUAGGCGGAGCUGCAAGUCAGAUGUGAAAUCCCGGGGCUCAACCCCGGAACUGCAUUUGAAACUGUAGCCCUUGAGUAUCGGAGAGGCAAGCGGAAUUCCUAGUGUAGCGGUGAAAUGCGUAGAUAUUAGGAGGAACACCAGAGGCGAAGGCGGCUUACUGGACUGUAACUGACACUGAGGCUCGAAAGCGUGGGGAGCAAACAGGAUUAGAUACCCUGGUA
rnacentral:rRNA from 1 species